UACGUAGGCAGCAAGCGUUGUUCGGAGUUACUGGGCGUAAAGGGUGUGUAGGCGGUUGCUUAAGUUUGGUGUGAAAUCUCCCGGCUCAACUGGGAGGGUGCGCCGAAUACUGAGUGACUCGAGUGCGGGAGAGGAAAGUGGAAUUCCAGGUGUAGCGGUGAAAUGCGUAGAUAUCUGGAGGAACACCGGUGGUGUAGACGGCUUCUGGACCGUAACUGACGCUGAGACACGAAAGCGUGGUAGCAAACAGG
rnacentral:rRNA from 1 species